ACCCGCGGCGGCGCAGCCGCUCCCGGAAACAGCCCCGCUCCGGAGAGGCGGGGGGAGGGAGGCGGAGGAACAGCCGGGGCUCGCCUUCCUAUUGGUGGAGGCGCGCGGCGGGCGGCGGCGGCGAUUGGCUGGCGGGGAGUGUCAGUCGGGGGGGGAGGCCCGCUCCGUUGCCGGGCAACCGGGCCGGGCUGCUCCGCCUACCGCCGCCACCGCCGCUGCUGCUGCUGCUGCUCGGGCCGAGCUCGCCCCGGCCGGCGGGGGCUGGUCCUGCUCCUCUGCUGCACGCUGUGCUGCACGCUCUGCACACCGAGGAGGAAGAGGAGGAGGAGGAGGAGGGAUGCUGAGGUCGGGGAUGGGGACGGCGACCCCGGGAGCGGCAGCAUCAGCCCCCGGAGUCCCGCUGCAUCGACCCCGCUGCCCGCCCAACUGCAGAGUGCAAUGCUGCAAGUAGAAGUUGAAGAGUUUAUGGCUGGCUAUUAAAUUCAAUUUGUCGAAGUGUCUGGAUUCAGCUGCUGUACCGUCCAGUCAGAAGAAUUACCGUGCAUCAUGCUCUGGUGAGUGAACAGAAUUUCUGUAUCAGACACAUAAAUUUUAAAGGUGUU
rnacentral:lncRNA from 1 species